rnacentral:lncRNA from 1 species
GAUAUAUAUACUUGACCAUCUUUUGUGAAAUAAAAAAAAUCAUGCAAAUCUAAUACCAUCUCUAAAAAGUAAUAGUUUAAAUCAAGUUGAACAAUUGCAACCUAUCCAGAAACUAAAUAGUGCUACAUUUUUUAUAAUUAAAUAGCUAUAGCCCAUAAAUAGUUUCCAAAAAGGAAUACAAAAAUCUUCAAAAAAGACUUACCAGCCUGCUAACAGCCAUUUAAACAUCAUUAUAAAAUGUAACAAGUGCUUUUAAAAUAAAAAGCAGUAACUCAACAGUGAAAAUCAGGUCAAUGACAUGUACAUAUGACAGACAUUUAUAACUUCGUAACAUUAUAUAUCUGCAUAAAAAAAAAUGUAAAAAAGCAUUCAAUUCUUUAACUUUAAAAUAACUAUAGGCUCUAAAGAGCCUGUGUUGUUGACCUUAGUCUAAGUGCAUAUUCUACAGAGGACACAUACUCUCCAACAUUGCUCUUGUCAGAUUAUCUCAAUUCAUUACAGUUAAUAACUAAAUAAUAGACAAAAUUGCAUUUUACACUGUGUUAUUUUUUUUACCAUGUCUGCCAUCUUCAUUGGCAGGCGGACGGGGUCAGAGUACAUAUUUUACAAAAAAAACACAUACUUCAAUUAUGAUUGUAGC